CACGUAGGGGGCGAGCGUUGUCCGGAUUUAUUGGGCGUAAAGAGCUCGUAGGCGGCUUGUCACGUCGGGUGUGAAAGCCCGGGGCUUAACCCCGGGUCUGCAUUCGAUACGGGCUAGCUAGAGUGUGGUAGGGGAGAUCGGAAUUCCUGGUGUAGCGGUGAAAUGCGCAGAUAUCGGGAGGAACACCGGUGGCGAAGGCGGUUCUCUGGGCCUGUACUGACGCUGAGGAGCGAAAGCGUGGGGAGCGAACAGG
rnacentral:rRNA from 1 species